rnacentral:tmRNA from 1 species
GGGGUUGUACUGGUUUCGACGGGGGCCCCGAAGGCAGAGCAGCCAUCCGUGGUCCGGAUCCACGUUAAAAGUCGGAAACUAAAUAUAAACGCUAACGAUAAUUUAGCAAUCGCUGCCUGAGUGCAGCUGUCGGCACCGAGUCUCCCGCUCUCUCGGCCUACCGGCAUUAUGGAAGCGGGGAACCUCACUGUCAAAGCUUUGAGAUCGUGAGAGAAUCAUGAAGCUACUGACUGAUACAGCCUGCCGGCCGGCGGUAUCGGAAGGGAAAUGGAAAUGACCGGCUGUGAUGGGAGAAGCUUUGGUGGACAGACUUUCGGACAGGGGUUCGAUUCCCCUCAGCUCCAC